GGGGCUGGAGAGAUGGCUCAGUGGUUA
rnacentral:piRNA from 2 species